rnacentral:rRNA from 1 species
CAGAACGAACGCUGGCGGCAUGCCUAACACAUGCAAGUCGAACGAACCUUCGGGGUUAGUGGCGCACGGGUGCGUAACGCGUGGGAAUCUGCCCUUAGGUACGGAAUAACAGUGAGAAAUUACUGCUAAUACCGUAUGAUGUCUUCGGACCAAAGAUUUAUCGCCUAGGGAUGAGCCCGCGUAGGAUUAGCUAGUUGGUGAGGUAAAGGCUCACCAAGGCUACGAUCCUUAGCUGGUCUGAGAGGAUGAUCAGCCACACUGGGACUGAGACACGGCCCAGACUCUACGGGAGGCAGCAGUGGGGAAUAUUGGACAAUGGGCGAAAGCCUGAUCCAGCAAUGCCGCGUGAGUGAAGAAGGCCUUCGGGGUUGUAAAGCUCUUUUACCCGGGAAGAUAAUGACCGUACCGGGAGAAUAAGCCCCGGCUAACUCCGUGCCAGCAGCCGCGGUAAUACGGAGGGGGCUAGCGUUGUUCGGAAUCACUGGGCGUAAAGCGUGCGUAGGCGGCCAUUCAAGUCAGAGGUGAAAGCCCAGGGCUCAACCCUGGAACUGCCUUUGAAACUAGAUGGCUGGAACACGGGAGAGGUGAGUGGAAUUCCGAGUGUAGAGGUGAAAUUCGUAGAUAUUCGGAAGAACACCAGUGGCGAAGGCGGCUCACUGGACCGUUGUUG